rnacentral:siRNA from 1 species
GGGAAUUCUGGUGGUUACAGUCCU